GCAGUCAAGAAUACAAGAGCUCUCGAAUCCACAGCAACAAAAAAUGUUGUCUCAGAGGCGCAUUCUUUCCGAUGAGGAGCCGCGGUUGGUUUCGGGGUGGUUGGUGGUGACGCAGCGCAAGUACGGCCUUUUCCUCGCCGUGGUCGGCGUCACGUCUCUGGUCACGGCCACGCUGUUCGCAUUCGCCGGCAUGGCACAAC